CCACGGGGAGGGGGCGGCUCGGCGCGGCCGGGCCCGGCUCCUGCGCGGCCCUAUCCCGGCUGGGGAAAAGGCUUGUCAGUCAGCGGAAAUCUGAAACUUGACAGAAAACCAGCCCCAUCCUGGGCCGCGUCAAAACCAGCGCGGGCAGCGGGGCGUUCUGCCUCUGCUCCGCCCUAGUGAGACCCCACCUGGAGCACUGCAUCCAGCUCUGGGGUCCCCAGCAGAAGAAGGACAAGAAAAUGAGUCCAGAGGAGGCCAUGAAGGUGAUGAGGGGUCUGGAACACCUCCUCUACAAAGACAGGCGGAGGGAGCUGUGGCUGGUGAAGAGAUGGGGAAGAGAAGGCUGUGUGGACACCCCACAGCAACCUUCCUGUAUCUGAAGGGAGGUUCAUCAGGUUCUGUAGUGAUAGGACCAGCAGUAAGGGGUACGAAUGAAGAGAUGAAAUUUAAGUGAGAUUUUGGGAAGAAGUCCUUCACUGUGAUAGUGGAUGAGACGCUGGAAUAGAUUGCCCAGAGAAGCUGUGGGUGCCUCAGUCCUCGCAGCAUUGAAGUUGAAUAAGGCUUUGAUCAACAUGGUCUAGUGGGAGAUUUCUCUGCCUAUGGCAUGGGAAGGGGGUUGGGACAGGGUAAUCUUUAAAGUCCAUUCCAACCUCUUGACAUUCUGUGAUUUUCACACAGACUUUGAAAUAUGCAGGUGCAUAGACAAAUUUCUCAUCAGUAAAAACAGAUGUUUAAUUUCAUCAGGACUUCGUGAUACUGCUGGAAGUUGUGCAGCUUGUUUAUUUGCGGUGAACAUCCCAGCUUAAAGGUAACGUGCUCAGGCUUUGUUGUGCUGUGUGUGGUGGCACCAGAAUGAGUACUCAUGAAUUCUGCAGCACUUGCUUCUUCCCCCACAUCAGCCAUGGCAAGGCCUGGUUGUGGCAUCAGGACUGAAUAAAGAAAGGAGCUAUGGUUAAUAACAGAAAUCAGGUAGCACAUGGUUCUGUAUGCUGCAAUAAAAGACUGCUUGAAUUGGCCAUCCUCCUGUUUUGGGGCUCUCAGAAUUACCAUUGUGUUGCAAAACUAAGGAUCAAAUUAAUACGCCUUGGUGUUUAGAGUUGAGUUUAGGUCUCUAAGCAACGCUGCCAUGGUGUCUGCUUUGCCCUCCAUGCACACCAGCAGACAUACCAGCAUGAAACAAGUCAGACAAUAAAAGCAGUAACAAAUGGAGGUUCAAGGUGUUUGCUGUGUUUUGUUGUAACUUCACAUGAUUCAAGACUGCUAUGACCUGUUUGAAAAUGGUUGAAAUUUCAGCAAUGCAUAUGUUAAUAACAUAACAAUUUAGUUUAGCCAGAACAUGCAUUAGAUAUAAAAGAAGUUGACUUGUUUCCUUACACAGGACCUGGCAAAGGUUGUUGUAAUUGUAGUUAAUGCAGGUCAGUAAUGAGGCUCUUAAAAGUUGUGAAGUUUGUCUUUUUCAAGUUUAUUUCCUUCAAAUUAGCCCUUGAGAAGUGAAAACAUGCCUUUGAGCCACCCUGUGCCAUUUUCAUCAUUCAGUGUUACUUAAUCAGGGGAAGAAAGCUGUACUGCUUCAGAACAGAGGCUCAGGUGAAGCCAUUUUGGUGGUUGUUUUGGAGAACUAGCUACUGCAUUCCUUCAUGCGGUUGCUCAGCAGCUCCUCCAUGCCUUCCUUCUGGAGAAGCGAAAGUCUAAAAAUAAUGUCCUAUUUGUUCGUGUGGAGCACCAUGAAGGGCAAAUGUGCAUGUGGGGGGAGGAAUAGGCAGGCUAUCGCCUUGCAUUUAUUAUGUUUUACUGUUUAAACAGGGCGAUAGCUUGUGAUUCACAGCCCUUUCCACUGUAGAGCCCGCAGUAUGCCAAAGGCUUCCAGUGGAAAGAAAUAAAAAAAAUUUGUUUGCAGUUGAAGAACAUUUUAGUUUAUGGGAAGGAAUUUUGAAACAUCAUAUCAAAUUACAUCAAGAGAGACAGCACCAUUCUAAAAGAUGCAGAAGAUAAAAAGGCAUUAAAAGCAGAACUAAAUUCACUGCCACGUUGUAAUGUUGUCUUGAAGCUGAAGGCAGACAUUUAGUCAUAUGCAGUGGCUCCCAGACUGAAGAACUAGUGAACACGUUUCUGAGCAAAGGUCAAUAAGCACAGUCAAGCCAACAGAUUCAUCUCCAUUGUAGAAACACACAGUCAUUUUUACAACAAAGUGUUUUGGAAAUGCAAUUUUCUUUUACAUGCUGCUGUCUGAUUUUACUUUCUUUGUGUAAGAAGUGAAGAGAAAAUUUAAUUUCUGUUCAUUUUUUCUCUGUUAAUAUGUAAAACUGCAUUAUGUGAUAUGCAUAUGUGUGGUUUAUUGUAGUCACUUAAUUCUACACUGCAUUUUGUAAUACUGUGAAUUCAAUUCCUCCCAUUCCCUGAAAUGCAAGCAAAAUUCAGGACUCAAAGUUUUCCAUGUUCUCUUGUUCCCUGAUUUUUUCACUGUAAUUUACUUCUAAAACACAGCUUUGGGGUCAUAGCAGUACAUGAAAGAUAAAGUAUGUUGACAUGGAGAUUAUAAUUUUAAGAUAUAUCCUAAUUUUAAAAAAUGGAGCAACUGGAAAACAAUUGUAACUACUUAAAUAACAUGUCACACUUGGUAGCCUGAUUGCUGCCGCUGCACACAGAUAUCCAAGUGUUGAUGCUUGGUGAUGGGUGAAAUAAACUGAUUAUAAUAAAUCUUGAUUCAGCCUCCCCUAUGUCCACAGAAGCAGGGAAUGAAAGUAGAACCAGUGUAGAUGAAGACUAGCUCACGAAAUUCUCUGUGCUCAGCUCAGCUUCUAGUACAGCCUCAGUCAUCGUCUAAUCCGAGGGGAAAACUUGAAGGUCCUUCACCCUAAUUAAUGUUACAUUUGAAGCUGCCUUGAAAACCUUAUUUACAUCAGGUUACAGGUUCUCACAGUGUACAGGACUGAAACUGGCAGGUGAAAUGUGCAGCCCCUUUGGUAGCUUGAUUAUGGCCUUUGUUUGAUAAUGUAAUCUGGAGGGGAGUGGUUGGGGCUUGGGGUCAGGACAGUACUAUUGCAGUUUACACAGCAUGGGGCAGAGGUACAGAAAUUGGGAGACUGUUUAUGUGGUUUGUGGAGAGAAGUUUCUUCAUAAUACUAUUCUGCAUGUGUUGGUGGAUGGCACCUGCCAUGGUUCAUUUUCUAGAGGAACAAUCUCACUCUUAAUUAGGUGUGACAGAAGCACGUGAUCUCUAAACUUCAGAUCUGAAUUAAGUGCCUAAAACCAAAGAGUGUGAAACUACUUGUAGAUGUUCACUUAGGGAUCUAGUGCUAUUAAAAAUGCUAAUAAAUCAUUUAAAAUGAGACAGAAAAGUAGUUGCAUUUAUAUAUGCAGCUUUAAUGUGAACAAUUAAAGGGUUCAGGCAGUAUGUACAAUGAAGCAGGAAUAUGGGAAAGGAGUCUCACCUAAUUCUACGUUGUUCUAAUUUCCUUACAUUGAGGUAUGUAGAUGAGGUAUAACAAAUGCUUUCAUUUUCUCUGGAUGAGCACAUCAGUGUCAAUGGGUAAAGUAAAAAGGGAGCAAUUUUUAGAGAAAAAUGUAGUGUCCAAUUUUGGCUUUUCAAACUAAGUCCUUUGUCUGUCUUGUGAAUUGAAAAGUAAUCAUCUCUGUAAAGGGACUGUGAUAUUUGAGAGUGAGAUCUGUCAGCUAUCCGUCCUCUAAAGUUGGUUUGCAAAGGUUGUUUCAAUUCCACACCACCCACCAGAAGCAUUUGUCUCUUUUAGUUUUCACAUAUUUGGUUUUUAUCAACAGUAGGAUUUUUCUGAUUAUUGUGUUAUACAGUUAGUACACUUGCGUUUCCAAUCUUGAUUUUUACCUUUUGUAAAACCUUUUUGAUAUUUUAAAACUGAUAAUGAGAAAGACAUAACCCUUGUUAUGUAUGUAUUAUUAGUAAGCAUAGCACACACAGCACGUUCCCUUUUUUGGCACUAAGCCUAUUCAAUAUGUUUUGCAGGCAGCUGUUUCCUUAGAUUGUCUAUUUUCUUUCUUCUUAGUGCAGCUUUAAGACUGUAAUGCCAUGAUAUAAAAUGUUCUUACAACUUAUUUUUUCUCUUCAGGAAUUACUCCUACUAAACUUAAUCUACUUGGGUAUCCUUACAAGCUUGCUUACUUGGAGCUUGUUACCCAGCUCCAGCCCAUGUUAUUAAGCUCUACCUAUGUGUCGCUCAUGUCUUGGAGCACAGAGCAGAUUUUGGCUUUGAAUAAUGUCAGCCCCGUUUAUUUCUGCAUAUACUCCUUCAUCUUGAAAAUAGAGACAACUGCAUUGGAUUAAUAUAAUGGAAAAGUGCAUGGCAUAUGUGAGCCAAUUACAGGGACUUCUUAAAAUCCUACUUCCCAAAAUUGUCGGGGCAUUCUCUUCAGAUCACAAACAAGACAUAAUGCUAAGACAAUUGCAGGAACACAAACAUGCUGAGCAAGGCCUCUUCCAUGAGUAAAUUUGCACUAGCAGCCACAGGGCUACAGCUCUGUAAUAGUGGAAGAUCGGAGCCUAGGGAGGCCCUUAGGUACUUGAAACUGGAUAUGAGCAGAUAUUUAUUAAAUAAAAUUUAUAGAAUACUUUACUUUGAGGCAGGGUGCACAAUUUAUCCUUAAAGGACAUUAAAUUUUUUAUGAAGUUAGACAUAAACACAGGUACUGAAAACAGAGAAUUUACAGACAAUGAAGAUUCUUAUAAAACUAUAUAUUUAUAUGUAGGUCCAACUCUCAAAUAUGUACUUGCUGAUACAUCUUCUUCCACCAAAUUUUUUAAAAAGCUUUCUCAUGUUUUUAAAGUAGCUCAACACAUCCGAAAAUUUACUGAGCCAGGUAAAUAACUACGCGUUCAGGCAAACUGCAAACCAAUCUAACAUCAUUUAGUACUUUUCUUACAGUGGAUGUACCCUGUUCUAUUAAGAUUGUUAAAAUAAUUUCUUUUCUUUGUGAUCAGGCAAACCUUUAUCUGAAGCAAUACAUCAUUUUCUUAUCUAUAUCGUUCUGAAGAACACCAGAGCCAGCAGUGAUGUUAACUGUGCUGAGAGAAUCUUUGCUUUGGCAACAGGCAGGGCAAGCUCAACUGUAGUAUAGAUGGGCCAGUAGAAGCUGCACAAGAAGCACUGAAACCAGGGAGAACACGCUAAUAUAAUCAGCAUUUGAUUUAAGGUAUUUGACAUGAAAUUCUAGUAGAAAAUGGAUUUCCUAAUUUUAUCAGGGUACUUUUAUGUGUUGUGAAAGGCUGUCAGGGCUGCUGCUAAGGAGACAGUCAUUAUUGUCAAAUCUGUGAUGUCAAGAAGGAUAAAAUAGAACUAGGUGUUAGCCCACAGAAAGAACCAUUUUGCAACAAACAAAUACUGUCUUCAUCAAAACAGAACCAUCAACAUUGUCUAAACGCAGAGAGUGAGGUUUUCAACUAUGCAAGUAUUUGGUGAAGUAAAAGGGGAAAUUAAUCUGAAUUAUAUUUUUAAACACUUUUUAAUUAAAGUAAUAUGAGACAUUCGAGUACAACUCUCAAUGAAACAAAUUAAAAAUUUCUAUCACAUAUACAAUGAGGAGAUGAAAAAUAUUUUAAUACUUCUGUCCUCAUGUAAUGUAACUUCUAGUGAAGAGAAGUUACGAAGAACCUUUGCUCUGUUUGAAAGCAAUACAUUUGUCGUGAAAGCUAGCUCACUAUGAGGAUCUAAGAGAAGCCUGGUCUUUUAUGCUCAAGUAAUGUAAAAAAAGUAACAGAAAAAUGAAAAACACUGCAUAGCCUGUUUUUAUUAGUUGUAAUUCUUUAUUACUCUCCAUGAGCAGGCCAGGAAUUAAGAUGUAUGCUGCAUCAUAGUAUUUCCUUACAUCAUAUAAUUUUUGCAUAUGAUGUAAGUAUAACUUACAUCAUAGUAUUUCUGAAUACCAUAAUUACAUUUCUUUUCUGUUUAGCUAAUUAUUUUAAGGUUUUUUUUGGGGGGGUGUCUAAAAACAAAACUCAGCUUGCAGUCAUUGUACUAUAGAUAAUACAUGAAGUUUAAGGUAUUGUUCACUUUUUUUGCUAAAAACUGCAGCAUUUUUAAAGAAGAUAAUUGCAUAGUUACUGCUUGAAAAAUAUUAUGCAUUAUGCGCAAAUCACUCUAAAAAAUGUGAGCUUACAUUUUACGACAAAAAAUGCAUUUGUGUUCAUUACCUUUCCCUUUUAGUCUUUUAUGAUUAACAGUAUGCUGUGCAGAGUUUUACUGAAUACAUUGCAUUCUUUCUAAAGAAUGCCUCACAUCGAUUUUCGCAUUGUAUGGAGAAAACAUGGGAAUUUUUUUGAUCUUCUCUUCAUUUUCAUUAGAUUAAAUUACAUUUUACACUCUACCCUUAACUAUAUUUUUCUGCAUUCUUUAUUCUUUACAUACUGAUACAAUUAAGAUACUCUGGUAAACUGAAUAAGCAUUUUCAAUGAAAGCAAAUUCAGUCCCAUAUAGAAUUCUUCUAAUGUCACAAAGAAUAUGCAUGACUUUAUGACUCAAAUUUCCAGGACAGAGCAAAGGUUAAAUAAUCACAUUCUUCCCAUCUCACAUGGAUUCAAGAGUAGAUGAGUUGGGAAACUAUGCAAGCAAAGGACUCUGUCAAAAUGGAUUCAUCAUAACAUUUCUUCUAUUUAAUCACUGCAUUGUAAGUCACUCGUCUAUGUAAGAAAGCAGGAUCCUUAAGAUCAAGAACAAUGAACCUAGCAUUUGGUAUAUGAAAAACAAAGCAUAUGAGAAACAAAGGAACAUAUGCACUAGCUGGCUAGCAUACACUUAUGUGCCUGGUCACAGAAUCAAUGCAGAGUUAUUCACCAACAGCCAGUGAGCUUCCAACACAGCAUUUUUCAGAUUUCUAAUUUCUUAGCAUUCUGUUCCAUGUAGGUAAAGCCUUAUAAGGGCUAUAUAAAAUAAAGGCCUCGUUACCUUCGUAAAAUCAUGGCUGAGGCCUGUUACUUAGGCUAAGUGGAAGGGAGCUACGGGAGAGUGAGUAAGCUGGCAUAGGGAUAGAGAGACGAGCUCCAUGACUGCCCUGUGUCCACAUCAUAGUGGUGAUUGGUUGUGCCUUAAAACUAUGUAAACUGAUAACCAGCUAACUGCUUAAAAAGGCCUGGUUUUUGCAAUAAAGCAGUUCUCCUUUGCACCUGCCUGGGGACUCUGUGUCACUUUGCUUCAUACAGCAUUCCAUAAGGAAUUUGUUUUUGUAGUUCUGUAAAUAAUAGGAUCUCAUAUAUUAAUCAAUUUUUGCAUUUUUAAAAAACUAAACAUCAAUUAAAGAAAACAUAUUAAAAAAAAAACAAAAACCACACCACCUGUUUGCAAAGUCAUAGCAUUUUAUUUCUAGAUGACCUAUCUUUUUGUGUAUAUUGUUUUAUGUCUGGGAGGUGAAAUUAUAAUCCUGUUCCUUUGUGCACGAUGAAGUAUGUUUUACCUGCUAAGCAGAACACAAUAUACCAUAUAUAAGUCUCAAAAAAAUGUAAACCAAAUUUUCUAGAGUCAGUCAGUAUGUUAAACUAAUAUUGCCACAGCCUUCUGCUUCAAAAAUGGCCCCUAACAUUCAGAAACUUUGCAGCAUAUGUGCUGUUUCAACAGUGUACCUGGAAAAAAAGUUAAGAAUAUGGUUUUCCUCUUCAUUGAAGUCUUUCAGACAUGCCAUUAUCCUGUGAAAGAUGCAGUCUACCAACAGGUGAAAGAAGUAGAAGUAUGAACAAGAAUGGGGCAUUUCUAUAUUCUGAAACAUUAUUUUACAACUACUUAGAGAAAAAAAGGUUCCCAAGAUGUUCAGAAGAGCUAGUAAACACUGAAAACUGAAAUAUAUAUUUAACACAAUUGGGUACAUUGGGACAGUUCCACGUAUUAUUCUUAAUCCAUGUAUUAGUCAGGCUGUAAUCAUGACAAUAUUGAUAUUUUGUGCAGUGGAGGUAUUGAAUAUCUCAGCAUCUUUCUACUAUCUCAUCUGGGCACCUUCUGCCAGCAAAACUUAAAAGGAAUCUGUUAUACUUCUGUGAAUUCAUGCAUCUUGAGCAGAGCAAGACUACGCAAUCCUCCCAGAAUUGCGCAGAAACUUAAAAUUCACCACAGAAUAAAACUUUUGUCGUUUUCUUUGUAGUUUUGAUGUCAGCACAGCUUCUGAUUCCUCAGUGUUACUGUGAGUCUUUUCAGUAUAGUUUCAAUUGUAUGCGCUGUAGGAUCAGAUUGGAGCAAGAUGGAACCACUGAAGUCUGCUUUGACCCUGGAAUGAGAUUUUUACUUAAGUUUCUUAUGUCACUUGUAGCUCUUUAGUCUGGAAAAUAAAGAGUAGGUAUUUGACCCAACAGAAAUCUGCAUCCAUGUGUUUAUCUGCAUUAUACUCAAGGUCCUUCAUAACAACAGAAUUCAGCUACAGAGAGUGCCAUUUGCAGAAGACAGACCUUUUUUUUCCUUCAUUAUGUAAAUUGGAUUUUGCUGAACUAAAAAGAUUUUUUUAAGUGCUUUUUUUGAUUCAUUAUAUUAAGCAUAUAGAAUUUCUUAACAAAAACUUACUAAGGCAAAUUAAUCUACAGCCAUAUUUAUGAACAGUUGCCUGUGUUCCAGUUUUUCAAAGUUAAGCCUGAAAUGUUCCCAGCAUGAUUUUUCAGAGAUGGUGAGAGCCAACUACCUCUACUGAGCCUAUGGAGCACUGUGGUAAGUCGUGAAAACCACCGUGUUUUGAGUUAAGUACACAUGAAUAAGACUAAUGAAUAUGUCUGAAAUUUUUGGCAAUGUCCAAGUUCCACAGAGGUUACAUCAAAUAUGGUAAACAUCUGAAAUAAAUAACCGCUGUAUGGUCCAUCGUACAGAAUUUUAAUGCUAAAAAGUGGAAGUGUACUCAGCAUUUAUAUUCCUUUCUCCACUUUUUUAAUAGUCUAAUGAAAUCUAGACUCUAAUUAGUCUAAUGAAAUCUUGCUUGCUCAUGAUCUUUUUCCCUUUUACUCAAUCCUGUGUUGGAUUCAUCAUAAUCCUGUGUUUAAAGCAUCAGUCUGUUGUCAUGGAAGUGAUUAAUGUUACAAAUUCACUUAGAACUUCAUAACGCAAUCAAAUAUUUUUUUAAAAACUGACUGGAGAAGAAGAAAAUCAUUCAGAUACUAAAGCUUGGAUAACAACAUGAAAGGAAAAAUACAUAGGGAUAUACAAAGAGUAAGUGUUUUAUUACUGAAGUCUAUUGAAGGAAAUUUCUGUUUCAAAUAUAAUGUUGUUUUUAGAAUUGUAUGUAAAAUACAUGUACAAGUGUAUCAUAUAACCAACAUUGAACUAUUACAUAUACCAAAACAAAAGUACACAAAAUAGACACAGUAGUCAACAAGAAGUGAAGAUUAUAAGUGGGUUUUUUAAUGUUAAUGAUUAGAAAAUAAAUAUAUUUUAAUUAAGAGUUGGUACGUAUACUCUUUAUUCAUUACUGGAAAAGUUAAUUGAAGUACCAUUUAAAGAGAUAUUCAUAUUAAUGUUGGUAUGUUCACAAAAUGACAUUUCUCUAAAAUCAGAUUUUGCGUGUCUUUUUAGUCAUUUUUACUGUAUCCAAGUCUUCAAUUACAUGUGUUGGCUGAAACUUCUUGCUAGCUAUAUUAUGUGGUCUGUCAGACUUGUCAGAUACAGUAUGUCUUCGAGUAAAAAUGCACUUACAAGAUGCUCAGUGGCACCAAGUGAGCUGCAUUCCCAUUCCCACCAUAGAAUGUAACCAGCUGUUACACUUUUACUAAUACAAAACUAACAACAAAGGUAAUAAACAGAUAAUUGCAAGAAUUUGAAGACAGCAAUUUUGGAAAAAAAAAUUAAGGAGCUGCUGCAGCCUUCUGAAUAUAUUUGUUCAAAUCCCAUCAAGUGGCAAAGCAAUUUGUUUCUUCAUAACAAGACUGAACAGCUUUGUGGAUGGGAUAAAGUAUUUAAAAUAUAUUUCAUCAGUAUUUCCCUAUUGUCUAGCUUAGUUUGUUGCCUGCUUACAUUGCUUUUUUGGCUAUACCAGUUUUAAAAUGCCCACUUUUCCUCGUGGAGGUUCCAAAAACCUGUGGAGCCCAGCAGUGCACCUAGGUGUCCUAAAAACUGUGUGUUGAAAUAUUCUCUAUCAUGAUGCCUCUGUCAUGUUUGUACAGAGUAACAAAGGCCAAAGUGCUUACAUUAAAGAUACGUCAUACAGGCAGGCCUCACAAAGGGUGCAGGUGGACAUGUAGAAUGUAGACCCUUUUUGUUCUGUACCUUUUCUAAAAAAGGUAAAAAUGCCCAGAUCUUGCCUAAUCUUGGAGCCAGGAGAUCGGUGGAAUGUGCAAUUUGAUCUGAAGAGAUGGAGAGCCAUCAGCUACAUAUGACCUGGGAGAACUAAGGAAAAGGACUAGAUGUCCUCUUGUUUCUGUUCUACCUCCAGGUUAGAUUCUUGUACAAGAUAAAUUUAUAAACCUGUUCUGGUACUGGUUUUGUGUGGUAUUUGAAUACUUACCCUGUAAUAGUAACAGCUGCACAUCUAAGACACCAAUCCAAACCUCAUUGGAAUCAGUGGAGGGUCCCACUGAAAAAAAAAUACUGGCAAUAUGUUAAAGUUGGGAGGUCAGAGGUUGCUGAUAGCUAAUAUAAUCCAUCUUCAUAAUAACAAGGAGUUUAUGCUGCCUGAACUUAUCUUAUUAGUAUUUAAUUGGAAGCCAGGCAUAAACUUCUUUCAGUCAGCACUUCAUUAAAUUCACAAGCAUUCCCACACACACUUGUGUGUGGGAUGCAGAGUAGAUGAGAGACAUUUGACUACUUGGAGGCUGACUUUGGCACAGAGCUAUUCAUACAGACACACUGUUUCUUUUCCAUAUUUGAAGAGAAAAACCAGAAAACUAUUUCAUGCUAUACAACAAUGCUGCCUAUAUUUGUCCCCCUGUACACACUAUGUAACAGUUUACUCUUGUAAUAAAUGUAGCCAUUUAAACUAAGAUUUGGUAUGGUGAAUACCUGCCACAGGCUUUGCCUAAGUUUAAACCCAAAUGGCCCAGUAAUUUCUGAGAUUUUUGCAGGAAAUUAAUUAUCUUGAAAGAUAUGCCAGCUAGCCCUUUUAUCAUCUCCUUGUCUUGUUACAGAGUACUACACUUCAUCAGUGACAUCACUGGAGUGCCAAGGAUGUGCCUUUUACUGACUUCAUCCUUCUGUCAAAAGUCAUGCAAACGGGCUAAGUUGUAGUAUUUCCUUCUUGAAGGACAUAAAAUUUAGAAAGCCAUGUUAAAACAUGGCAAGUGUGUCUUAAAGAAAAGUAGUGCCAUAUGGUAAUAUAAAGGCAGUAUCAUAGAGGUAAUUAAAUCCAUGCAAAUAACUGCUAAAUAUGUUUGAAAGCACUUUUAAAGCUACAUUUUCUAUAUAUGGACUAUAAGGACGAAAACAAGGUACAGACUAUGCCCAUUUACAUUUUUUUUCCCCUUGGAGGAACAAAGUUCUGCUCUAAGGGCAGCAAUUCUCAGCCUUACAGUGCUGAUGUUCUUGUUCCUGGUGAUGUAUUUCACUCGUUUUCUACCUCAGAUCUCCAUAUGUGUUUACAAACCUGAACCUACUUUCCACCUUUGGAGAUAACUUCAGCAACCUGUAGAAAAAUUGAGCAUAUAACUACCUGCAAUGGAUGAGAAAGUGAAACAUCUUCAGGUAGCUCAUUACCACUACAGACAGAAACUCUCAGGUCUGCCUGUGGGAAUUGACAGGAGAGAAAUACCUCAUAGUCAACGAUUGUGGGACAUGUGGAAAUCACUCUGGAGUGGCAGCAGUGUGUCUAAGUCCAUUGUUACCCAGAUAGACUCCAAUGCUCUUCUGAGAAAAAGGGCCACUUCCAGUCAAUUUUGAAGACAUAGUAUGUACAACUGAAGAAGAGAGAGAAGACUGGUGUGUAGUCUCUGAAGGGUUUCUGUAAUCUCUUAAGGCCACACUUGAACAAAAAGAGAAUAUUUUCCUUAAGAAACAUUAUCACAUGAAUUUAAGGUGAGCAGGAUUAUCAGAAGAAAAAAUAACAAAAGUAUGAAGCAAGUGAGUGAGUGAAAACAUCAGAUUCACAAAUGUCACAUCGACAGAUCGAAACAUAGUGAUAGCAUGGAACCAGGAGACCCUCAGGCUUUUGUCACUACUUGGAUUCAUUAUAUGACAUCAUAUUUAUAAUCUUCUGAGAGCAACCUGACUUUUUGUACAAUCUGACAUGGUACUUAACUGUUUAUUCACAUCAAAUAUAACACAUGAAAGUGAGAAGUUUGUAGCGUUUUUAGCAAGGACAUUUUCCUUCUCAACCUGCACUUGUUAAGAAGAUGAGAGACAUGAAAAAAACCAGAGUGGUUUCUAAAGAAUUCAGACUGCAGAAGUGGUUUUCCUCCCUCUGAAUGUCACCUACAGGCCACGCUUUUGGGGUUUUUUUAUGUGGAGAGACUAGUGCAGAGAUAUUACAUGAAUCAUAUUCAAGUAUAGAUCAUAGUAUAAUCUCAGUAUAGAAAGAGAAAAUUCCCUAGUGGACUCUGAGAUAUAAACUAUUCUUUUUGAUUUCCAUGUAUCUGUCACUGUGUUGCUUGGACUUACAGUAAAAUUUAUUGAUACAGAAAUUGUAUCGGAUUAAUAUAUAAACCAAAAGACUGUACCUCCCUUCCAUACCCUUUUUAACACUAGCACUGAGUUAUUCUAUAGGCAAUUAAGAGUAAUCUCUGGAGUGUUAGCUCUUGUUCUUGUGGGAGACUUCAAAUUCACAGACGUUUACUGCAAAUACCAUACUAACGUUACAAGCAAGUCUGGGCAAUUCCUGGAGCUGCUUCAAGAUAAUUUCUUGCCACAAAUCCUCCAACUAGAAAAGAUGCCUUCCUAAAUAUGUUAUUUGUUUCUAGAGAGGUACUCAUGCAUGUGAUGAUAGUUGUUUGUCUUGACUACAGUGAGGUUGAAAUGGUUUGAGAUCAAAAUUCUUAAUGUAAUGAGCAAAAAAGUGCAACACUGUUUCUACUGUGAAUUUCAAGAGAGCAAAUUCUCAGCUACCCAAGGGGCUACUUUGCAGUGUCCCUAGGAAUAUGCUUUGGAGGCCUCUAUGGGUGCUGGUCAGCCUUAAAGAACCACUGUUGAUAAGUGUGGAAGCAGGCCAUCCUAUUGUGUCACAGGUCAAGCAAGCAGGACAGAAGAUCAGUUUGGCUUAACAGGAAACUCCUCUUGGAACUCAAGAAGAGAAAAAGAUUGGAUGAUAUAUAGAAGUAAGAUCAGAACUUGCAGGAA